UGUCCCAGGUAGCAGGGGAGCUACCAAGAUCACGAAGGUGCUUUUUCCAGGGUGAGGCUUACCGUUGCACUCUGGGUGUGCUGACUCCUGUCAUUCCCCCGAAAGUGGGAAACUUGACUGCUUACUUUGUUGGUAAUGGGGGACAGCGUUUGUGCUCUCCCCAG